rnacentral:rRNA from 1 species
GACGAACGCUGGCGGCGCGCUUAACACAUGCAAGUCGAACGGAAAGGCCUGCUUUCCCUUGUGGAUUGCGGGUACUCGAGUGGCGAACGGGUGAGUAACACGUGAGUGAUCUGCCCCCAACUUGGGUAUAAGCCUGGGAAACUGGGUCUAAUUCCCGAUAGGACUGCAGGGUGGUGCCUGUGGUGGAAAACGAUUUUCUAGUGGUUGGGGAUGGGCUCGCGGCCUAUCAGCUUGUUGGUGGGGUAAUGGCCUACCAAGGCGGCGACGGGUAGCCGGCCUGAGAGGGUGGACGGCCACAUUGGGACUGAGAUACGGCCCAGACGCCUACGGGAGGCAGCAGUGGGGAAUAUUGCACAAUGGGCGGAAGCCUGAUGCAGCGACGCCGCGUGGGGGAUGACGGCCUUCGGGUUGUAAACUCCUUUCGACCGCGAGGAAGCCACCUGGUUGGAAGGGUGGUGACGGUAGUGGUAGAAGAAGCACCGGCUAACUACGUG